rnacentral:lncRNA from 1 species
ACAGGAUUAGAUAGGAUGGUUGAGUUUCACUUAAUGUUUGUUUCUUUAUUCAUUGAGUCUGUAAACUGUGAUUGACUACACACUCCAGUACAGUACAUGGUGGCAUGCACCUCUAACGUUUGUUUGCAGACCACCAUAAUAUUACAGAAGAAGAAGAAGAAGGUAAGCGAAAGGAAAAGUGUCAGACUCACUUGAGAGUUAGAAACUGCUACACGAGGCUACUGCAAAAGUAGUGAACAUUUCUAAAUCAUGGACAAACUGUAUAUUUUUGUUAGUUCUUUUGUUUUCCAUCGUUGUCAAUGCAGAGUACAAGAUCAGAAUUGCUGACAAAAGGCAGCUGCACAGAUAGGGCUCUACCUGUGUAGAGCACAUGCCCCUUUGCCCUUCCAGUGUCCUUCCAGUCCGCGACACCACGUGAGUUCACCGUGGGGGAGAAAGUGAUGGUGCUCGUGCCCACGGCUGAACAUUGUUUGCUGGCGCAGUGGAGGGGGCCCUAUGAGGUAAUGAAAAAGGUAUCACCGGUCAAUUACCUCAUCAAGCAACCUGACAGGAGGAAGAAGGUCCAACUAUAUCAUAUAAACCUGUUGAAGAAGUACCAUGGAAGAGAGGAGGAGGAGGAGGCUUUGAUGGCCCUGGAGGGCAAAGGAAAGGAGGAGGCUCUACCACAGGUGUGUCGUGGCCAAACUCUCCUGCCGGAGCAGUCGAGACAACUAGACAAGCUGAUGAUGAACUUCGGACUGGUAUUCUCUCCAUUCCCGGCAAGAAGGUGCAUAUCCGGCAUUACAGGAUUCCUGCGGCCCACCGAGUCAUCGCUAAGAACGAGGUGCAUCAGAACACUGACAAUGUUCCUGAAGAUAGAGAAGAACGUUGUGAUGCGUAAGUUCCUCCCAGACUCAGGUUGAUAAAGAAAGAGGUUUCUGGAGGGUUUCAGGUGAGCUGCCUGGCGUUUGGUUUCUACCCCCGCCACAUCAACCUGACCCUGCUGAGAGACGGCCAGCCAGUGGCAGAACAGGAGCUGACAGGGGGGAGGUGCUGCCUAGUGGAGAUGGGACCUACCAGCUGAGGAAGAGUCUGGAGGUGAGUACUGAUGAGCUAAAGAAGAGACACAUGGAGAUGUGUAAAUUAGAGGCCAUUUAGUCCUUACAUUACUGUAGCAUAUAUGCUGCAGAAAAUAGUGACCACAAUGAAAAUAAGUCCCCGACUUUAUUGUGCAAUCCCAGUCAUAUACAGUGUAAAUAAGUUAUUUCUGUUUUUAAUUUUGUUUAAAUUUGCAAGAAAAUGUUGCUUUGUCAUUAUGGUGUAUUGUGUGUAGAUUUGUAUUUAUUUAAUCCAUUUUAGAAUAAGGCUGUAAAGUAACAAAUGUGGAAAAAGUCAAGGGGUCUGAAUACUUUUUGAAUGCACUGAAUAUAUAUAUUUUUACUGUAAAAUAAAAUCAAUUAAUUGAUCAAUCAAUCCAAACUGUACAACGGCAAUAUGAUGAAUGGAAAGAGACAUCUGUUACAAAACACC